rnacentral:rRNA from 1 species
GACAGAGGGUGCAAACGUUGCUCGGAAUCACUGGGCGUAAAGGGCGUGUAGGCGGGACAGUAAGUCGGGCGUGAAAUCCCUGGGCUCAACCCAGGAACUGCACUCGAAACUACUAUUCUUGAGUGUCGGAGAGGAAAGCGGAAUUCCUGGUGUAGAGGUGAAAUUCGUAGAUAUCAGGAGGAACACCAGUGGCGAAGGCGGCUUCUGGACGAUAACGUGACGCUGAGACGCGAAAGCGUUGGGA